AGAGUUUGAUCCUGGCUCAGGACGAACGCUGGCGGCGCGCCUAACACAUGCAAGUCGAACGAGAGAGAAGGAGCUUGCUUCUUCGAUCGAGUGGCGAACGGGUGAGUAACGCGUGAGGAACCUGCCUCAAAGAGGGGGACAACAGUUGGAAACGACUGCUAAUACCGCAUAAGCCCACGGGUCGGCAUCGACCUGAAGGGAAAAGGAGCAAUCCGCUUUGAGAUGGCCUCGCGUCCGAUUAGCUAGUUGGUGAGGUAAUGGCCCACCAAGGCGACGAUCGGUAGCCGGACUGAGAGGUUGAACGGCCACAGUUGGGACUGAGACACCGGCCCAGACUCCUACGGGAGGCAGCA
rnacentral:rRNA from 1 species